rnacentral:rRNA from 1 species
CACGUAGGGGGCAAGCGUUGUCCGGAUUUACUGGGCGUAAAGCGCACGUAGGCGGAUCGUUAAGUCGGGGGUGAAAUCCUGGAGCUCAACUCCAGAACUGCCUUCGAUACUGGCGAUCUAGAGUCCGGAAGAGGUGAGUGGAACUCCUAGUGUAGAGGUGGAAUUCGUAGAUAUUAGGAAGAACACCAGUGGCGAAGGCGGCUCACUGGUCCGGUACUGACGCUGAGGUGCGAAAGCGUGGGGAGCAAACAGG